GCUGCGCUGAAUAUGGAUAUGGUGAGUGAAUCUAGAGCAGCCAUUUGGAGGUAUGAAGAGAUCUUGGAAAUAGAGGCCAUGUGUGUUGAAACAAGACCGAACAACUCCAAGUUCCUGAAGACUUCAUUUCACCAACCCAGAACCUCCUUGAUCAUCACAGCCUUUGCAUGGAUGAUUGUCUGUCCUCUGUUGGGCCCCUUCUGAAGAGUUGGAGUUGGCUUUAUACAAUUAUUCCCAAAUCUUCUAAACUGACAGUGAGGGAGAGUAAUUUGAAAGGACUGCUCAACUCAACGUCAUUUGAAGAUUUGCACCACAGCUGCAUUUUUCCAAUUUCCUGGCAUCUAUUCUGCUCUCCUGGACUUUUCAAAAACAAUUUCUUUCAGAUCCCUGGAGGCCUCUCCCAGGGCCUGUGGUGUGGAGAGUUGGACUUGACCCUACUGUAAGAGACCCAACUUCCAAAGACUGCAUCAGAUGAAAGGCUCUCCAUAUAGACUACAGACUUGUCAGCUGGUUAAGGAGGCAAACAGAACAGUCUGCUACAAACUCCAGUCCAUGUAUCUGUGCUGAAAAUAAAAGGAGUCUUCAGGAAUCAAAGAAGAAAAUAUUUUUAUAAAGAAAUUUUAUUGCAUAAUUCUUGUAUACAAUAAACAUAGGAAAAGGGUUUUUAAUGAAAAUUCAUGUCAUUUUUCA
rnacentral:lncRNA from 1 species